UCCGAGUUGACCCCGGCGGUCUCCUAUGAGUCCCCACCAUAACGUGCUGGCAACAUAGGACGAGGGUUGCGCUCGUUGCGGGACUUAACCCAACAUCUCACGACACGAGCUGACGACAACCAUGCACCACCUGUAUACCGCCCUUGCGGACCCCGUAUCUCUACGGCUUUUCCGUACAUGUCAAGCCCAGGUAAGGUUCUUCGCGUUGCAUCGAAUUAAUCCGCAUGCUCCGCCGCUUGUGCGGGCCCCCGUCAAUUCCUUUGAGUUUUAGCCUUGCGGCCGUACUCCCCAGGCGGGGCACUUAAUGCGUUAGCUACGGCGCGGAAAACGUGGAAUGUCCCCCACACCUAGUGCCCAACGUUUACGGCAUGGACUAC
rnacentral:misc_RNA from 1 species